rnacentral:rRNA from 1 species
CCUACGGGAGACAGCAGUGAGGAAUAUUGGUCAAUGGUCGGGAGACUGAACCAGCCAAGCCGCGUGAGGGAGGAAGGUACAGAGUAUCGUAAACCUCUUUUGUCAGGGAACAAAGGCGGGGACGUGUCCCCGGAUGAGUGUACCUGAAGAAAAAGCAUCGGCUAACUCCGUGCCAGCAGCCGCGGUAAUACGGAGGAUGCGAGCGUUAUCCUGAUUUAUUGGGUUAAAGGGGUGCGCGGGCGGUCUGUUAAGUCAGCGGUCAAAGCCCGGGGCUCAACCCCGGCCCGCCGUUGAAACUGGCAGUCUCGAGUUGGAGAGAAGUACGCGGAAUGCGCGGUGUAGCGGUGAAAUGCAUAGAUAUCGCGCAGAACGCCGAUUGCGAAGGCAGCGUACCGGCGCCAGACUGACGCUGAGGCACGAAAGCGUGGGGAUCGAACAGGAUUAGAUACCCUGGUAGUC